AUUAUUUUGGCAGAGUUAAUGCUAUGAAUUUAGGUUUCAUGUAUAUAUAAUUUUAUUUAUAUAAAUAAUA
rnacentral:tRNA from 1 species